rnacentral:rRNA from 1 species
UACGAAGGUGGCAAGCGUUACUCGGAAUUACUAGGCGUAAAGGGCAGGUAGGUGGUUUGGUAAGUCUAUUGUGAAAGCUCCCGGCUUAACUGGGAGAGGCCAAUGGAUACUGCCAAGCUUGAGUAUAGGAGAGGUUACUGGAAUUCCCGGUGUAGCGGUGAAAUGCGCAGAUAUCGGGAGGAACACCAAUGGCGAAAGCAGGUAACUGGACUAUUACUGACACUCAACUGCGAAAGCUAGGGGAGCAAACAGGG